rnacentral:tRNA from 2 species
GCGUCGGUGGUUCAGUGGUAGAAUACUCGCCUGCCACGCGGGUGGCCUGGGUUCGAUUCCCGGCCGACACA